CCUUCUUGGGUUGUAAACUGCUUUUGCCGGGGGAUAAAAUUCCCAUGCGUGGGAAAUUGAANGUACCCGGUGAAUAAGCCACGGCUAACUACGUGCCAGCAGCCGCGGUAAUACGUAGGUGGCAAGCGUUGUCCGGAUUUAUUGGGUUUAAAGGGUGCGUAGGCGGCCUUGUAAGUCANUGCUGAAAUAUCCCGGCUUAACCGGGAGGGUGGCAUUGAUACUGCAGGGCUUGAGUAGAGUCGAGGUAGGCGGAAUUGACGGUGUAGCGGUGAAAUGCUUAGAUAUCGUCAAGAACACCGAUAGUGUAGACAGCUUACUAGGCUCAAACUGACGCUGAGGCACGAAAGUGUGGGGAUCAAACAGGAUUAGAUACCCUGGUAGUCCACACUGUAAACGUUGAUGACUCGCUGUUGGCGAUAUACAGUCAGCGGCUUAGAGAAAUCGUUAAGUCAUCCACCUGGGGAGUACGCCGGCAACGGUGAAACUCAAA
rnacentral:rRNA from 1 species